rnacentral:rRNA from 1 species
UACGUAGGGUGCAAGCGUUGUCCGGAAUUAUUGGGCGUAAAGAGCUCGUAGGCGGUUUGUCGCGUCUGCUGUGAAAUCCUCAGGCUCAACCUGGGGCUUGCAGUGGGUACGGGGCAGACUAGAGUGCGGUAGGGGUGACUGGAAUUCCUGGUGUAGCGGUGGAAUGCGCAGAUAUCAGGAGGAACACCGAUGGCGAAGGCAGAUCUCUGGGCCGUAACUGACGCUGGAGGAGCG